rnacentral:rRNA from 1 species
AUACGGAGGAUCCGAGCGUUAUCCGGAUUUAUUGGGUUUAAAGGGAGCGUAGGCGGGAAGUCAAGUCAGCUGUGAAAUGUAGUCGCUCAACGUCUGCACUGCAGUUGAAACUGGUUUUCUUGAGUGCGUAAGGGGCAGGCGGAAUUCGUCGUGUAGCGGUGAAAUGCUUAGAUAUGACGAAGAACUCCGAUCGCGAAGGCAGCCUGCCGGGCCGCAACUGACGCUGAAGCUCGAAGGUGCGGGUAUCGAACAGGAUUAGAUACCCUGGUAGUCCGCACAGUAAACGAUGGAUACUCGCUGUCGGCGAUAAACGGUCGGUGGCCAAGCGAAAGCGUUAAGUAUCCCACCUGGGGAGUACGCCGGCAACGGUGAAACUCAAAUGAAUCGACGGGG